GAUGAACGCUGGCGGCGUGCUUAACACAUGCAAGUCGAACGAACCGAUAGGAGCUUGCUCCUUGAGGUUAGUGGCGGAUGGGUGAGUAACGCGUGGGUAAUCUGCCUUAUACAAAGGAAUAACUCAGAGAAAUCUGUGCUAAAACCUUAUGAGCCUACAUGGUCACAAGACCAAGUAAGCAAAACUUUAGUGGUAUAAGAUGAGCCCGCGUCCGAUUAGCUAGUUGGUGAGAUAAUAGCUCACCAAGGCGACGAUCGGUAACCGGCCUGAGAGGGUGACCGGUCACACUGGGACUGAGACACGGCCCAGACUCCUACGGGAGGCAGCAGUGGGGAAUCUUGCACAAUGGAGGGAACUCUGAUGCAGCAACGCCGCGUGAAGGAUGAAGGUUUUCGGAUCGUAAACUUCUAUCAGUAGGGAAGAAAACAAUGACAGUACCUAACUAAGAAGCCCCGGCUAACUACGUG
rnacentral:rRNA from 1 species